UACGGGGGGGAGCAAGCGUUGUUCGGAUUUACUGGGCGUAAAGGGCGCGUAGGCGGCGUGACAAGUCACUUGUGAAAUCUCCGGGCUUAACUCGGAACGGUCAACUGAUACUGCGGGGCUAGAGUGCGGAAGGGGCAACUGGAAUUCUCGGUGUAGCGGUGAAAUGCGUAGAUAUCGAGAGGAACACCCGUGGCGAAGGCGGCUCUCUGGGACGGUACUGACGCUGAGACGCGAAAGCGUGGGGAGCGAACAGG
rnacentral:rRNA from 1 species